GAUGAACGCUGGCGGCGUGCCUAAUACAUGCAAGUCGAGCGAACAGAUGAGGAGCUUGCUCCUCUGACGUUAGCGGCGGGCGGGUGAGUAACACGUGGAUAACCUACCUAUAAGACUGGGAUAACUUCGGGAAACCGGAGCUAAUACCGGAUAAUAUAUUGAACCGCAUGGUUCAAUAGUGAAAGACGGUUUUGCUGUCACUUAUAGAUGGAUCCGCGCCGCAUUAGCUAGUUGGUAAGGUAACGGCUUACCAAGGCAACGAUGCGUAGCCGACCUGAGAGGGGGAUCGGCCACACUGGAACUGAGACACGGUCCAGACUCCUACGGGAGGCAGAAGUAGGGAAUCUUCCGAAAUGGGCGAAAGCCUGAAGGAGCAACGCCGCGUGAGUGAUGAAGGUCUUCGGAUCGUAAAACUCGGUUAUUAGGGAAGAACAAAUGUGUAAGUAACUAUGCACGUCUUGACGGUACCUAAUCAGAAAGCCACGGCUAACUACGUG
rnacentral:rRNA from 1 species